rnacentral:rRNA from 1 species
UACGUAGGGUGCAAGCGUUAAUCGGAAUUACUGGGCGUAAAGCGUGCGCAGGCGGUUGUGCAAGACAGAUGUGAAAUCCCCGGGCUCAACCUGGGAAUUGCAUUUGGUGACUGCACGGCUAGAGUGUGUCAGAGGGGGGUAGAAUCCACGUGUAGCAGUGAAAUGCGUAGAGAUGUGGAGGAAUACCGAUGGCGAAGGCAGCCCCCUGGGAUAACGACUGACGCUCUGCACGAAAAGCGUGGGGGAGCAAACAGG